CCUACGGGGGGCAGCAGCAAGGAAUUUUCCACAAUGGGCGCAAGCCUGAUGGAGCAACGCCGCGUGCGGGAUGACGCCCUUCGGGGUGUAAACCGCUUUUCCGGGGGACGAAGGCAAUGACGGUACCCCGGGAAUAAGGAUCGGCUAACUACGUGCCAGCAGCCGCGGUAAGACGUAGGAUCCGAGCGUUGUCCGGAGUUACUGGGCGUAAAGGGCGCGCAGGCGGUCAGUCGCAUCGGCGGUGAAAGCCCCCCGCUCAACGGGGGAGGGUCCGUCGAGAUGGGCUGACUGGAGGCAGGGAGAGGCCAGUGGAAUUCCGGGUGUAGUGGUGAAAUGCGUAGAGAUCCGGAGGAACACCAGUGGCGAAGGCGGCUGGCUGGACCUGACCUGACGCUGAGGCGCGAAGGCGUGGGGAGCGAACGGGAUUAGAUACCCCGGUA
rnacentral:rRNA from 1 species